UGCACUUUCAUGUUUAACAAAAUAAAUUAAAUAUACGGGGCUUCAGCUCAAACUCUACAUAAAAUUACAGAGAUCUGGGGCCACCACGACAGUGGGGUGGGGGGUGGUGUCUGGCCUGGACGGGGUGUGGUCAUCAGCAUGGCUGAAAGACCAGGCGGGUCCCGGGCCCCAGGAGAGACCACAGUCCCUGCAACCCAGUCUUCCUUCCAUCAUUAUUAAUAUUAUCUUCAUUUCUUAAAUAUAAAUACCAAGGCCCCUUCUCUGUGUCAGGGGGAGAAUGCAGUGGGGAUGAGCCACUAGCCAUGGGCUCCAGCCUCUCAGGCUUGGGGCUGCUGUGCCCCCAACCCCAGCCCACAGCAGUAGGGGACUCCUGGGCACCCAAGGCAGGUGGCAAAAAUAGCCGCCAAGGCCAGGGGACAGAGGCGGGGAUGGAGGCGGGGACUGAGGCGGGGACAGAGGCGGGCAGAGUUGGGGGAGUGACGGUGGAGCAGGGAAAGUCCCUCAUCAACUAUGAGCCUCACGGCACACGUACUGCAGGCUUCACGGCACACCCUCCCAAAAGCACGUCAGUCUGCGUGUGUCCAGGCAGCAUAUCUGCACCUGUGUGUGCAUGUGUGUCCGGAAGUGUGUGCCCAGGCAGCAUAUCUGCAUGUGUGCGUGCGUGUGUAUCCGGACAGCAUAUCUGCACGUGUGUGCAUGUCCAGACAGCAUAUCUGUGCACAUGUGUGUGUCCAGGCAAUAUCUGCACGUGUGUGAGUGUUGAGGCAGCAUUAUCUGUGUGUGUGUCCAGGCAGCAUAUCUGCGCCUGUGCACGUGUGUCUGGAAGUGUGUGUCCAGGCAGCAUAUCUGCAUGUGUGUGCGUGUCCAGACAGCAUAUCUGUGCACACGUGUGUGUGUGUGUGUCCAGGCAAUAUCCGUGCAUGUGUGUGUCAAGGCAGCAUUAUCUGUGUGUCCAGGCAGCAUAUCUGUGCACGUGUGUGUCCGGAUACCAUAUCUGCACGUGUGUGCGUCCAGACAGCAUAUCCGUGUGUGUGUGUGUGUCCAGGCAGCACAUCUGCGCAUGGGUGUGCGUGUGUAUGUUCAGGCAGCAUGUCCUUGUAUGUUCUGGCAUGUCUCUGUGCGUGUGCGUGCAUUUGGGCAGCUUAUCUGUGUGCCCAGGCGGCAUAUCUGUGCAUGUGCGUGUGUGCGUACGUGUGCCUUCAGGGAGCACGUGUGCGCGCAUGUGUGUGCAUACAUGCAUCCAGGCAGUGUGUGUGUCUGUGUGUGUGUGUCCAGGGGCUAUGCCUCACACACAGACUGCCUGGGGUGCUGGCCAUUCCUCCUCGCCAUGGGUCCCCUGCCUUCGUCUGCAGCUCCGUCCUCCAUCCUCCCAGUCUGCCUGUCUGGCCGGCCCCCCCGUGCCCACUGCAGAUACGGUGCCGUCUAGCACUGAUAGUGGAUGUGCUGGUGGACCUUGCCCUCCACGUGUGAGUGUGUGUGAGAGUGUGUGUGUGUGUGUGUGUGGAUGUCUGUGUAGAGUUUGGGGUACAACUUAGGGCCAGCAACUGGGCCUGGGCCCAGUAAGUGCUGGGGGGCUGCCGGAGACCCAUGCUCCUCACACAGCCCCACACCAGGGCCAGCGCUGAGGGCGGCCAACGAGGGAAGGUCCUUGUCUCCGCUGCGGUCGCGGGCCGUCCCCGGCGGGCGGUGCCCAGGCAGGGGAGGGGCAGGCGCGGGGGUGCACGGCUUCUUCUGGGCCUGGCAAAGCCACAGGAGCAGGGUGCCCAGGAUGAAGACAGCGCCGGCUGGGAUGCCGAUGACCACGGGCCACGGCAGGCUAGUGGCCGAGGACGAGGAGGCCACAGGUGGCCCUGGCGGUUUUGGG
rnacentral:lncRNA from 1 species